CAAGGAAUUUUCCCCAAUGGGCGCAAGCCUGAGGGAGCAACGCCGCGUGCAGGACGACGGCCUUCGGGUUGUAAACUGCUUUUAUCAGGGAACAAAUAGGCCAUGCGUGGUCAGUUGAGUGUACCUGAAGAAUAAGCACCGGCUAACUCCGUGCCAGCAGCCGCGGUAAUACGGAGGGUGCAAGCGUUGUCCGGAUUUAUUGGGUUUAAAGGGUGCGUAGGUGGUUUAUUAAGUCAGUGGUGAAAGGCUACAGCUCAACUGUAGGAGUGCCAUUGAUACUGGUAGACUUGAGUUUGGUCGAGGUAGGCGGAAUUUAUGGUGUAGCGGUGAAAUGCAUAGAUACCAUAAAGAACACCGAUAGUGAAGACAGCUUACUAGGCCUGAACUGACACUGAGGCACGAAAGCGUGGGGAGCGAACAGGAUUAGAUACCCGUGUAGUCC
rnacentral:rRNA from 1 species